GAUGAACGCUGGCGGCGUGCUUAACACAUGCAAGUCGAACGGGAUCCUAGCUUGCUAGGUGAGAGUGGCGGACGGGUGAGUAACACGUGGGUAUCUGCCUUUUGUUUCGGGAUAACCGCGGGCAACUGCGGCUAAUACCGGACGCUCCCGAGAGGGAAAAGAUUUAUCGCCAGAAGAGGCGCCCGCGUCCGAUUAGGUAGUUGGUAGGGUAAUGGCCUACCAAGCCAACGAUCGGUAGCUGGUCUGAGAGGAUGAUCAGCCACACUGGGACUGAGAUACUGCCCAGACUCCUACGGGAGGCAGCAGUGGGGAAUAUUGGACAAUGGGGGCAACCCUGAUCCAGCAAUGCCGCGUGAGUGAUGAAGGCCUUAGGGUUGUAAAGCUCUUUUGCCAGGGAAGAUGAUGACUGUACCUGGAGAAUAAGCCCCGGCUAACUUCGUGCCAGCCGCCGCAGUAA
rnacentral:rRNA from 1 species